GAUGAAGAACGUAGCGAAAUGCGAUACGUAGUGUGAAUUGCAGAAUUCAGUGAAUCAUCGAAUCUUUGAACGCACAUUGCACCUCUCGGUAUUCCGGGAGGUAUGCCUGUUCGAGCGUCAUUUGUACCCUCAAGCUCUGCUUGGUGUUGGGUGUUUGUUCCGCCUCUGUGUGUGAACUCGCCUCAAAACAAUUGGCAGCCGGCGUACUUGUUUCGGAGCGCAGCACAUUUUGCGAUCCAGAUCAACGUACAGCGGCAUCCAAGAAGCCUUAUUUAACGCUCUUGACCUCGGAUCAGGUAGGGAUACCCGCUGAACUUAAGCAUAUCAAUAAGGGAGA
rnacentral:misc_RNA from 1 species